rnacentral:lncRNA from 1 species
CUUAACCAUGGCCUUUGCCUUACCGAGGUGUAUUUUGAAGACAGGAAAGAGGGGGUACUAGAAUUGAGGCUGAGUGGAUUAUAAACGUGUUUGAGGCAGCUUCAUGGACUCACCCCUACAGCCCAGAGCCUCUUCUUGCACGGUGUUCUGCAGCCUUCUGGAAGGCUGGGCACCACCUCCCUUUGCGUACAGCUUCAAGACUGAAAGAAUCGGCCUCUUUCCUCUGUCCCCUCCUCCCCAG